rnacentral:rRNA from 1 species
UACGUAGGGUGCGAGCGUUAAUCGGAAUUACUGGGCGUAAAGCGUGCGCAGGCGGUUUGGUAAGACAGAUGUGAAAUCCCCGGGCUUAACCUGGGAAUGGCGAUGGUGACUGCAAGGCUAGAGUUUGGCAGAGGGGGGUAGAAUUCCACGUGUAGCAGUGAAAUGCGUAGAUAUGUGGAGGAACACCGAUGGCGAAGGCAGCCCCCUGGGUCAAAACUGACGCUCAUGCACGAAAGCGUGGGGAGCAAACAGG